AUUGAACGCUGGCGGCGUGCUUAACACAUGCAAGUCGAUCGGUAACGCGGGGGCAACCCUGGCGACGAGAGGCGGACGGGUGAGGAACGCUUGGGAAUCUGCCUAUCAGCGGGGGACAACACGGGGAAACUCGUGCUAAUACAGCAUACGCUCUACGGAGGAAAGCCGGGGACCGCAAGGCCUGGCACUGAUAGAUGAGCCCAAGCCGGAUAAGCUAGUUGGCGGGGUAACGGCCCACCAAGGCGACGAUCCGUAGCUGGUCUGAGAGGACGAUCAGCCACACUGGGACGGAGACACGGCCCAGACUCCUACGGGAGGCAGCAGUGGGGAAUAUUGGACAAUGGGGGAAACCCUGAUCCAGCGGCGCCGCGUGGGUGAAGAAGGCCUGCGGGUUGUAAAGCCCUUUCGGUAGGGACGAAAGCUCUCGACCUAACACGUCGGGAGGUUGACUUAACCUACAAAAGAAGCACCGGCUAACUCUGUGCCAGCAGCCGCCGUAAAAC
rnacentral:rRNA from 1 species